AUGAACGCCCGCGCUCAUCUCCUCCACCUCGCGCCACCCACCUCCCUCCGCGGUCAAGCACCAGCUCCAGGAGCCAACAGAUGCGUCGCCGCCGCCCUGGAGCUCCACCGCCGCCAAGCGCCGCCUCCAGCAGCCUACUCCCCUCGCGUUCCUGCCUUGCCCCGCCAUGGACGCCGCAAGACCUCGCCGCUGCCUCCCCGUCUCCGGCCAUGGCGCCCGUGCCGGCGACCCGACCUGCCAGGGCCGCCGCCCUCCUUCAUCGCGCCCUCGCCUCCCUCUUCCUCCAUUCGGGCCAACACCGCCGCCACCGGAUCAGUCUGCGCGUUCGUCGGGGUCCUCCCCUGCCGCCGGACCGGCCCUGCAGGAGCUUCUUGUCCCUCGCCGUCCGAUGCUGCUCCGCCCUGCCGCCUCUUGCCGAGCUACCUGUCACCUGCGUCGUCUACGUGCUGCUUCCCUGCUGCCUUUUUGUUGUCAUUGCCAAGGCCACUGAAUCCAGGGAUGCAAGACCGCCUCCGUGGAAUUUCGCCAAGUACACCACUGACAAGACCAAACGGAUGCUUAAACGAGUACCGAACAAAACGCCAAGACCUACGAGAAUGA
rnacentral:rRNA from 1 species